rnacentral:rRNA from 1 species
AGUUCGGAUUGGAGGCUGAAACCCGACCUCCACUGAAGUUGGAUUCGCUAGUAAUCGCGCAUCAGCCAUGGCGCGGUGAAUACGUUCCCGGGCCUUGUACACACCGCCCGUCAAGCCAUGGGAGCCGGGGGUGCCUGAAGUUCGUGACCGCAAGGAGCGACCUAGGGCAAAACUGGUGACUGGGGCUAAGUCGUAACAAGGUAAC